GGUAGUCAAACUAAACCAAUAUAAAAUGGCGGUCCUUACAAAUUAGAGAAACUCGCUUCGUAAUCGAAAACACUCGUUAAUUUUUACUUAAACCCAAAGCCUAUAUACCGCCGUUAAAAAAUACUUUAAAUAACAAAUCUUAAACCCCAACUUAGCUAUAUCUCAGGUCAAGGUGUAGCCCACGUUUUAAGCGAAAGUAAGUUACAUUAAAAUUAAUUUAAGGAAUAAUAACAAAAAUCAGUCAGAAAAAGAAUCUAUACGUACGCCAAGUUUAAAAUACUUUUCAGAGCCAAAAAAUAAGGAUGC
rnacentral:rRNA from 1 species